AUCAAAGUCCUGCGACUAGAGAAGAGUUGCAGAUGCAAGUGUUGCAAUCACAGUUUAUCACCCAUGUACAAGCAUUUUCGGUUGAAUAGUAAGAGUUGAAGAACAUCCAGAACAACUUUAUGAGUCUUUGUUUCAAACCGAUGGGAUUUAAGUAGUCGACCCAUAGAGGAAGGGAGUUAAUCAUGCGGGUUAUUCGAUGAAAGAAGUUUUGACGCGACUUCGCGAGUCUCACUCGCGGCACAUUUAGGCGAACACUUUCCCCAGAGCGGGUGUUGAGAGAGUCAUUGAAAUUAACAUGAGCAAACCAAUCGAAAUCAUGAUGAUUUGAAACGAUUUUGGAGAAUGUGAGUAAGUCGCAUAUCUGCAGAUGUAGAGUGAUUGGUAAGAUGUUCAGUGUCUUCAUUCUUUCGAAAUAACUUUCAGUUUGAUAUGAUAGUAUCCAUUGGGUGACUCGCCGCUGAACACUUUCCAGGGACUUCUGGUUUGACCUGUUUGACUUUGUUGAUUAUGUAGAUGUCUACAUCAACAAAGAUCUCACUAAAAGCCAACAAGAACAACAAAGAAACCUGAGGCAAGAACUGCGUGACAAACGAAGUGAUAACCCUACAAAUACGUUCACAAUCAAGCACGAUCAAGUCAAGCAGCGCAAUUGACUAGAUAUCUCCAUUUCGCUCUAGAACAUUGAAGAUGCCAAAAUAAACAUUCCAAUACUAAACGAAAAUAUACUAAUUUCACAUGAUAUCCUACUUCUGACUGAAACGCUAUCUAUCUCACCUUUUGCAGACUUAUUACCAAAACCUUUCUGUUACUUGCAAAUGCAGUUAAACCAUCUCGUGGCAGACUAAUGGGUGGGUUGUGCUUGGCUAUACACAAACGUCUAAGCAAGCAACAUAAACUUAUGUUCAGUUCACAAAAUAUCCUCGCCGGCUCCAUUGGGGACCUUGGAUUUAUCGUAUCUUACUUUACUACCGACACCAACAUUGACAGUAUUACGUAUGAACUCGGAAAUGUGCUAAACUUGUGUAGAAACCUUACUUCAUUAGUGUUCGGAGGCGACUUCAACUGCAGACUUGAUAAACCGAACUUACGAAGCCAAAUUUUGUUAGAAAAUAUGAGAAUUUAUGGUCUGACCAAUCACGAAAAAGUCCCGACAUACAUAUACCACAAUGGUACUAGCGUUAUUGACCUUAUAUUCACGUAUGGUGUGCGAUUGCCAAAAAGUUCCAUCCAAAAAAUUGAGAAUAGUACCACGAAGCAUCGAAUAAUGACCUGCAACAUUCUCUAUCAGAGCACCGAAUGCAAAAAAAGAUUAAGUAGGUGAGAAAAAUAGAUAUAAACUCACUGAACUCACCAAAUGAGAUCCUAAACAACGCAACGUCCCUCUAUGAGUAUAAAGAAAUGCUGAUAAAUGUCAUAUAGAGAUCUGCGGUGGUACCACUAAACGAAAAUCUAAACAAUUAAAAAAAAAAUUCAAAAACUGUUAGACUGGCAGAAAAAUCACCUCAGAAAUAGUUUUUCAAACGACUGUGCCAAAACAAGAGACGAGAACAUGAACAUGUUUAGAAAACAUAAAUUGUUGCAGAAGCUGAGACAGAUACGCAGAACUUUCGAAAAAUUCUCAAGUCUAAGAGAAAACUUGCUGAAAAUAGUCAGGCACAGAACAAUGACUGGGUACAUCAUUUUAGUCAGCUAUGCCUACUACCGAUAAGCAGUCCUAUAGUGAUGAACUGGGCCGACCUCUUUUUUGCCAGAGAUAACACUGAGUGUAGCGUCUCAGCCAAACAGAAAAGCCAGAUCCCGAUGAAAUAACAAACGAAGCAUGGAAAAUUUCGUUUGGAACGUUGUGGUACAAGAUUUUCCACUUUUCCUCGUUUUUGUUUUGAAGGUAGAACCAUUCCCGACCAAUGGCGAAUGGCACAAUUAUUCCCCUUUACAAGGGGUCUGACAGUAGAGCUGAACCCGACAAAUAUCGUGGAAUUACCCUUCUAAACACUAUAUACAAAUGCUACAGCCUUAUUCUCCACAACAAACUAUACGCAUGGUGUCAGCAGAGCGAAGUCCUGCCAGAGCAGCAAUUUGGAUUUAUAAAUGGGAAGUCAACACAUAAAGCUAUAGAAUCACUCAACUCGGAAAUCGAGAACAGCGUGACAAACAAGGGUAAAUUAUAUGCAGUACUUGUGGAUUUCAGAAAGGCGUUUGACACAAUUGACAGAACCAUGUUAAUACGAAAACUGGUGACAAUUGUUGUGACGAGAGAUUUCUUUUGUAUGCUACAUGAUAUACUCAAAUAUAAUGAACUCAGAAUUGUAAACGGUUCUUAUCUCUCUGAGAAAAUCACACAGAAGGUUGGAGUGUCACAGGGCGAUAAAUUAUCCCCACUGCUUUUCAUUCUGUUUGUUGCAGAUUUGCCAGAAGUUAUUAAUAAUUGUGGCUGCAGGUGUAUUUUCUACGCAGAUGAUCUGGUUUUGACAUCGGACAAAGUUUUUGACGUACAAUUAGCACUCUACAGGAUUGGAAUAUAUUGCAACGACCAUAACGGUUACAUGUGAACGUCAGGAAAACAAAGGCUAUGAAAUUUAGAAAAGGCGGCCAUCUGAAGCGUACAGACAAAUUAACCUACCUCGGGGACCCAGUUGAAUCGUCAAUUCAUUUUGUUUCCUGAGAGUUACCUUGACUACUCAAAGCAGCCCCAGUCAGCACUUCAAUGAGCGAAAACAGAAGGGUAUAGAACACAUGACAAUAUUAGCUGCCAAAGUGGACAUAAGAAAAAUAUCAUUUGUGAGCGCCCAUAAACUUUUCUGCUACGUGGUUCUCCCCUCUGCAACGUAUGGACUACGCCAUUUCGCAAAAACGCCAGACUUUCUAGUCUGAGUUGGAGAAUAUUUUUGGAAAAGAUGGUGUGGAAUAUCCAAGUUCUCAUCAAACACUCGACUAUGUGAACAUCUAGUGGAAUACGACUAUCUAAAUAUCAAAAACUCAAUUGGUUUCCAAAGACGUGCUAUAUGCAGCUAUUAUGUAAAUGGACUCCAUCACAAGCUUCGUCAAAAUGAAAAUUGCUAUAGUCCAAAACGAAAAUGUCAAUGUCGAUUUUGCGGCCAGAGUACAGAUAACUACACGCAUCUACUGUCACAGUGUACUUUUGAAGCACAGAAGUUGCCAUGAGAACGAGUGCAACUGCUAUUUUCUCAAACUUGGUAGACUCAAAACUCGAAAGACUCGAAAAAUUUUAAUCAUAUUGGUCUCUUUAUAGAGAUGUUAUAAUUCACUUAUUUGGUUAUUUAUUUAUUACCCGUUUCCGGCUCCACUUGGGUAGCCACUUCGGCACGGACAUUCACUACCAAUCUUUUUAGGAUUGAGUUUUACUUUCCAUCGCUAUGUACUCAUCGUGCGAAUGUUAGAUACGCUUACUUUAACGCUCAAUCUUAAUCUCGAAUGUGUUUGUGACGUCAAAUUUUUUCGGCAGCUUUUUCGUGGUUUCCGAAGUGUUGUCGGCUUAGCGGAUGCUCCAUAAAUGAUACCUAAAGCUAUUUAAUGCUAUUGGAUAUGUUGCGACUGUUUAGGGAGAUUGAAUAUUGAGUAAAAAUUUAGAAUUAUGGUCC